CAUCCCUCCCUUCUCUCCUCCCUUCCUCCCUCCCAUAUCAUGCUCUGGUGACUUGCCUGUUGCUAAAUAUCAAUUAUUAUACACUAUUUGUUCAUCUGAAAUGGCACCCUACUCCCUAUAUGGGCCCUGGUCAAAAAGUAGUGCACUACAUAGGGAAUAGUGUUUCAUUUGAGACGCAGACUAUGUUGUUGAGUUUUUAGGAUACUGACUGACUACAAGGGCAUUUUGAUACUGGUCUUCUAUGCAUUUUGUAAGACUCGCAUAUUUAGUUAUUUGCUGUAGGAGUUUUGUUUCACCACGCUAUAGCUAUAUACAGGGCACUCUGACGGUGUGAUAUAGUUUAGUUAGUAGACAGAAUAACAAGAGUUUUGGUAAAUGUACAGAUUAAAAAUGUGUGCCGGGACUUUGGUACAUACACACUUAUGCAUCCAAUAUUUACCUCGUCCUCUCCUGAGCAAUAAAAAAGCCAUUUUUUUCUCACGUCUGCUAGAGUUAUGCAACACGUAGCUUCACAUGAGCUCAAUGAGGUAAAAUAAAAACCUGGGUCGUGUUCAUUAUGCACCAAACGGAAGAAAACGGUCUGAAACGGGGCAGGGGCUAUACCUGAAACGCUAAUUUUUGUUUUUGUGUUUUGCGAAACAUUUUAAAAGGUUGCGUGAAUGAAUGUCCCCGUGCUAGAAGGUAAAGCAUGGAUUGGGCUGGAGUUAUCUUUAAAACAUCCUUUGACUAAAUAAAAAUAAAAAAUGGCAAUGAAUGAACUACUGUAGUUGAUAAAGUAUUACAUUGUAUUUGAUUAUAAAGGGUUUUUAGAGAAUGACCAUUUUAACGUGCUUGUCUGCGCUGACAGACUGGAGCGAAGAGACAUUUUGUCACUGGAAGAUUUGAAGCAAAGCAAGCUAAUCUACUUCUGAUAGGUCAAAACACCACUCCAAACCAUAGACAGUAUAUGUAGCAUUACAUUCUGAUAGGUCAAAACACCAUAGAACAAACACAAUACUGUAUGUAGCAUUACAUUCUGAUAGGUCAAAACACCAUAGAACAAACACAAUACUGUAUGUAGCAUUACAUUCUGAUAGGUCAAAACACCAUAGAACAAACACAAUACUGUAUGUAGCACACAGGCAUUUUCAGAGGGACAUUUUGCAUGCAGAACACCAUACUCCAAACCACAAAGGGAUCCGGCAACUGGAGAGAUUAGCCUAUGUACCGCACAGUCAUAUUCAGAUCAUACCUUACUGCUUUCAACAUACAGUUCAUGGGUUCUGUCUCUCUCUCUCUUUCUCUCGCUCUCUCUCUGUCUCUGUCUCUCUCUCUCUCUCUCUCUGUCUGUCUCUCUCUGUCUCUCUCUCUCAAUCUCUGUCUCUCUCUCUCUCAAUCUCUGUCUCUCUCUCAAUCUCUGUCUCUCUCUCAAUCUCUCUCUCUCAAUCUCUCUCUCAAUCUCUCUCACUCUCUCUCAAUCUCUCUCUGUCUCUCUCUCAUUCUCUCUCUCUUUCUGUCUCUCUCUCGCUCGCUCUCUCUCUCUCUCUCUCUCUCUCUCUCUCUCUGUCUGUCUCUCACACCUCACCUGGCACCAGAUAAUUUAGAAUGAUUAUACUGCAGGAUUAAAUCUUGGCUGUGACAGUCAAGAAGAACAACACAAGCCAUCAUGGUGAUGAAAGCAUGGUGUACAUUAUUCUGAGGGUACGUCCCUAUAAUACAUUACCCCCCCCCCCUGAAGUGUACUGUUCCCUCAAAUAUAAAAGCCUUGACUAGCUGAUCAUAACAGAUUAAGUGAUCAUAGUGUUAGGCCUUGUAGUGUUUUUUGUUGUUGUCUAUACUAGCUGAUCAUAGUGAGAUACACCUGCAUUAGCUCCUCCCCCCCAAGCUAAUGCCUAGACUUUAUCUCAGCUGGCUAACACAGAUUCCUGGAGACCCGGAUUGGAACCUACAUGCAGACAGGCGAUCUUUAAAAACCUUUAAAGACCUGUAUAGAUCUUUAUAGCCCUUUUUAGCCAGACUUCAUAGACACAGCGUGCAGAGUAAGUUAGUUAGGAAGAUAUGUUAAGGCAGCGUUUCCCAAACUAGGUCCCUGGGGAACCCAAGGAGUGCACGUUUUUUUUUUUUUCUCCUCUACAAUUACACAGCUGAUUCAAUUCAUCACAGCUUGAUGAUGAGUUGAUUACUUUUUUAAUCAGCUAUGUAGUGCUAGGGCAAAAAAAAAAAAAAAUGGGGUCCCCAGGUCCGAGUUUUGGAAAUCCUUGGUCAAGGAAAACAGACUUUCUACACACCAGAUAUACAGAGCAUUCCUGGAAAGUAUUCAGACCCCUUCCCUUCUUUCCACAUUGUGUUACGUUACAGCCUUAUUCUACAAUGGAUGAAAUAAAACACAUUCCUCAUCAAUCUACACACAAUAUCCCUAUAAUGACAUCACAAUACCCCUAUAAUGACAUCACAAUAUCCCUAUAAUGACAUCACAAUACCCCUAUAAUGACAUCACAAUACCCCUAUAAUGACGAAGCGAAAAUAUAUAUAUAUUUCUGUUAUAUUUGGAAAUGUAUAAAAAAAAAAUUGAAUGCAUCCCAAUUGGCACCCUAGUCCCUACAUGCGGGGACUGCAAUUAUUAUUAUUAUUAUUAUUUUUAAAUGUAACCUUCAUUUAACAACACAAGUCAGUUUUAAGAACAAAAAUUCUUGCAAUAGGAUGUCGUUUGGGACACUGUCAUUGUCUAUGACCCAGUGCCUGCCCAGUGUAUAUAUAAACACAUGUAAUAAUCAGCCCCUGUUAUUGGUCAGUUACACCACAGAUGUACAGGUUUUUAUCUAUUUGUCACUUGUUGUGGUUAAUAAUAUUGUAUUGUUUCUGAAUGCAGCAUUGUGGGAGUUUUUGAACUAUGAGAAAUGAAAAGCACUUACUGAAAUGAAAUGAAAAUAAAGUUAUUAAUAAAAAUA
ensembl:lncRNA